CAGCCCUGGGAACCCCACAGGUACCAUCACACUGCCUUAGUUAACACCAGCCCUGGGAACCCCACAGGUACCAUCACACUGCCUUAGUGAACCCCACAGGUACCAUCACACUGCCUUAGUGAACCCCACAGGUACCAUCACACUGCCUUAGUGAACCCCACAGGUACCAUCACACUGCCUUAGUGAACCCCACAGGUACCAUCACACUGCCUUAGUGAACCCCACAGGUACCAUCACACUGCCUUAGUGAACCCCACAGGUACCAUCACACUGCCUUAGUGAACCCCACAGGUACCAUCACACUGCCUUAGUGAACCCCACAGGUACCAUCACACUGCCUUAGUUAACACCAGCCCUGGGAACUCCACAGGUACCAUCACACUGCCUUAGUAAACACCAGCCCUGGGAACCCCACAGGUACCAUCACACUGCCUUAGUAAACACCAGUACUGGGA